AUUGAACGCUAGCGGGAUGCCUUACACAUGCAAGUCGAACGAGCGAGAGAGAGCUUGCUUUCUCAAGCGAGUGGCGAACGGGUGAGUAACGCGUGAGGAACCUGCCUCAAAGAGGGGGACAACAGUUGGAAACGACUGCCAAUACCGCAUAAGCCCACAGCUCGGCAUCGAGCAGAGGGAAAAGGAGUGAUUCGCUUCAGGAUGGCCUCGCGUCCAAUUAGGUAGAUGGUGAGGUAACGGCCCACCAUGCCGACGAUUGGUAGCCGGACUGAGAGGUUGAACGGCCACAUUGGGACUGAGACACGGCCCAG
rnacentral:rRNA from 1 species